UACAGAGGGGGCAAGCGUUGUUCGGAAUUACUGGGCGUAAAGGGCUCGUAGGCGGCCAACUAAGUCAGACGUGAAAUCCCUCGGCUUAACCGGGGAACUGCGUCUGAUACUGGAUGGCUUGAAUCCGGGAGAGGGAUGCAGAAUUCCAGGUGUAGCGGUGAAAUGCGUAGAUAUCUGGAGGAAUACCGGUGGCGAAGGCGGCAUCCUGGACCGGCAUUGACGCUGAGGAGCGAAAGCGUGGGUAGCAAACAGG
rnacentral:rRNA from 1 species